rnacentral:rRNA from 1 species
AUUGAACGCUGGCGGCAGGCCUAACACAUGCAAGUCGAACGAGUGGCGGACGGGUGAGUAAUGUCUGGGAAACUGCCUGAUGGGGGGGGAUAACUACUGGAAACGGUAGCAAAUACCGCAUACCAUCACAUUUACCCAGAUGGGAUUAGCUUGUGGGUGGGGUAAAGGCUAAACAAGACGACGGUCCCAAGCUGGUCUGAGGGGAUGACGAGCAACAGUGGAACUGAGACACGGUCCGAAUUCCUAGGGAGGGAAGAGGUGGGGAAUAUUGCACAAUGGGCGAAGUCCUACUGAGGAAAUGCGGGGUGUAGGAGAAAGGCCUUGGGGUUUUAAAGUACUUUCAGCGGGGAGGCGUUAACCGAAGAAGAAGCAACGGCUAACUCCGUGCCAGCAGCCGCGGUAAUUC